GUCUGGGAGUUCUGCCAGCAGCAGCUCCCCUCAGACCUCAAUGUGCUCAGUUACAAGCUCUCAUUGCCCUAAAGAGAUUAGGACUUUUGAGAAGUCCAGAGACUAUUUCAGUCCUUACAACAGCCCUUUAAACCAUCUGUGCUGAGUCUCCCACUGAGCUGCUUGUGUCAAAAAGUGUGCUAAGAGAUCUCUGCUUUUUCCUCAGCCUUAUGUGCAUCUACAGGAAUAACUUUCACUUAAGCCUUCCUUUCACAAAAGGAAAAAGUAUAUAUAUCCCAACAGUAGCCAAAUAUAGAAAUCUAUUUCCUUCUCAUCCACUCGUUACAGAGAGGUCAUAAAAUCUCUAUUCAUCAGACUAUAUGGGAUGAAAUAGCCAGGCUUAUUCCAAGGGAAAAAGACCCCCUGUAAAGCAAAAAGUAAAAAGAUAAAUGAAAAUGAUGAGACAAUCACUCAGCUACCCCUUUAAAAGACAGAGAGAAUUGUAUUGCAGUGUAGCUACAUUCAGUGUCUGCUGCAUUUAAAGAAAAUAUAUUACAACUACUUCAUAUAUAUAUAUAGUUUUGAAGACAGCAUUGCUAGUAAGUUAUUCUGCAGCAUUUAAUACAGUUCACAUAAACUUUUACUUUCUCAUUAAGUUAUAAUAGGUAAAAGAUAGACCUUAUAAAAUGGAAAUUGCCUUUCUUUAAAAUAAAAUGUGAUUCCUUGUGGAUGAACUCACGGAGAUUAACUGCCAUCUGUGCCUCAGCAGAUUCUCAAAUGCUGCAGACAGAGCAUGAGAGCAACCAGGGAGGUAGAAGGGAAUGGCAGAAGGGGAGAUGAACGUGAGCCAAUGGGCAGGAUGGGAGUUAUUCAGGGAAGCCAUCAGUGCUACCUUCUCAAUGAACAGGUUGGAACUGAAAACCGAGUAGACAAUCCCAGCAGAGACAAGUCAGAGCCAUGCAGAACGGAGCCCUAGAUCAUCAUCCUCUACAAGUUUGUUGCUUCCUUCCUAGGAAUGGAAUGGUUGAGUACAGAUUUCUUGCAGAACAUCUAAAAAGCCAUCAAACUAAUGGAAGAAGAGCAAAAGCUGCGCAAACCACAUCUCUGUUCUGUGAUUCCUGUAACUUUCUUGAAAUAGAAGAUCCUGCAUAAGAAUUUUAGUAACAUGAAACUUUGACUCCAAAACACUGAAUUUUUACUACGACCGAUGGACAAGGCUUCUCCUCAACAUUGUUUGAGGUUAUUUUGUAACCUAAUUUUGUUCUGUCUAAAACUACUUUCUUAGAAACCUUUUUAGAGAUGCUAAUUACAGAAGAGAUCGAAGCCUCCUUUGUCUGAAGAAGGCAAAAGCCCCACUGGAACUGGUGCAGAGUAAUGAGCUGACUUCUGGUGGAAUUACAUGAUGGUUGUUGUACACUGUGGAUACUGAAUUUCCAGGCAAUCUUCUGUAGCAGGAAAGUGUAAAAAAUGUUGCAAAAUCAUAUUGGCAGGAUUUGUGAGUGUUUCAUUAGUACAACUACAAACUUGGUGACAUGCAAAGUACAUACUGACAGUGUAAGACUGACAGCUUGUUACUGUAUGUCUAGAUUGGGAUCACAAUAGUGAAUUUACCCUUUUCAGAUAUCCUGUGGAACACAGAGCUUGUUUUACAUGGUGCAUAAAGCAUAUUUAGCAAUAUGGAUAUUACAUAUAAAGAUACGCUUUCCAUUUUAUCUGUUUAUAAUGUGAACUAAGACUAAAGAGAAAUAAAGGUGGCUUAAAAAGAAAAAGAUAUUCCUGUGGAGAUGAACCACCUAUUGAGAAAGGGAAAAUCACAAGACAUUAAGUUAUUAUAGCUAAUCUAAGAUUCCAGUCAACCAGGAAGGAGAGCUACUUAACACAGUACUAAAUAAUACAGAUGUCUGCUGAAAAGUAGGAGACUCUAUUUGCACAGAAGAAGACCAAUAAAUUCUUUAUGUAAGAUCACUCUGCUGGUAUUCACAUGCACUCCUAUGAAUUUUCCAGAUUAUUCCACUGGUAUUCUCAUGGGGUGAAUUUCUGUAUUCAAUUUCAUAAAGUGAGGACUGUCUUUGCAAGUAAUUGCCAAAUCCUAAAUUUUACUUACAUAAGUUCUCGUUGGUAUUGCCUUUAACAGAAUAAAGAAGACUGGACUACAUAAUAUAGUUGAGUAGGUGGUAAAUGUGACUUUUCAGUGCUGUAUAAUCUUGUAAAGGUCAUGUUCUCAGGUGCUGUAAUAUUUUUUUUGUGGGAUUUGAUGCAUCUGCCAAUGACACCAGAUCUAAAAUUCUAUGUUCUGGAUCUAAUAUUUAAUAUGCUGUGUUUGUCCAGUCCUGCUAUUUAUAUGUGACUCAAUUAUUCCAAUGAAAUAAAAACUGUUCUCCUUAAAUAACCUGAAUCUUCAAUAACAUUGUGCUCUCUCUGGUGGUUCCUGCCAAAUUAUAAUUCCCAAAGAAGAUACGUGGGUCAAGGUUGGAUAUUCCAUGCAGAGAAAACUACAUUCUUCUACACAAUCUCAGUUGGUGUUUCCAAACAUGCUAUUCCAAACAGGCCUGCCUAUGCAAGCAAUUAUUUGAUACAGAGCCUUAUAUGUUUUGCUUUCCAUAAAGCAAAUAGUAUUUAAAACAUAAUGUAUGUUCAAAGUUAAAGAACGCUUUUGUAAGAGAUCAAAAAUGUAUAGGGAAAACCAGAUUACUGCUACUGUGUAUUAAGUUGAUGCCUUAAACAGAAUUAUCACACAGUCUAAUGCAAAUGUUUGUAAAUAUCAAAUUUA